rnacentral:rRNA from 1 species
UGGACCCUACGGGGCGCAGCAGUGGGGGAUAUUGCUCAAUGGGGGAAACCCUGAAGCAGCAACGCCGCGUGGAGGAUGAAGGUUUUCGGAUUGUAAACUCCUUUUGUUAGAGAAGAUAAUGACGGUAUCUAACGAGUAAGCACCGGCUAACUCCGUGCCAGCAGCCGCGGUAAUACGGAGGGUGCAAGCGUUACUCGGAAUCACUGGGCGUAAAGAGCACGUAGGCGGGAUAGCAAGUCAGAUGUGAAAUCCUAUGGCUUAACCAUAGAACUGCAUUUGAAACUGUUAUUCUAGAGUAUGGGAGA